rnacentral:rRNA from 1 species
GACGAACGCUGGCGGCGUGCUUAACACAUGCAAGUCGAACGGAAAGGCCCUGCUUUUGUGGGGUGCUCGAGUGGCGAACGGGUGAGUAACACGUGAGUAACCUGCCCUUGACUUUGGGAUAACUUCAGGAAACUGGGGCUAAUACCGGAUAGGAGCUCCUGCUGCAUGGUGGGGGUUGGAAAGCUUCGGUGGUUGUGGAUGGACUCGCGGCUUAUCAGCUUGUUGGUGGGGUAGUGGCUUACCAAGGCUUUGACGGGUAGCCGGCCUGGGAGGGUGACCGGCCACCUUGGGACUGAGAUACGGACCAGACUCCAACGGGAGACAGCAGUGGGGAAUAUUGCACAGUGGGCGCAAGCCUGAUGCGGCAACGCCGCGUGCGGGAUGACGGCCUUCGGGUUGUAAACCGCUUUCGCCUGUGACGAAGCGUGAGUGACGGUAAUGGGUAAAGAAGCACCGGCUAACUACGUG